rnacentral:misc_RNA from 1 species
GUAGCAAUACGGAGUGGCAGACGGGUGAGUAACACUUGCCAACGUACCCUUUGGUUCGGAACAACUCCGGGAAACUGGAGCUAAUACCGGAUAAGCCCUGUGGGGGGAAGAUUUAUCGCCGAAGGAUCGGCCCGCGUCUGAUUAGCUAGUUGGCGGGGUAAUGGCCCACCAAGGCGACGAUCAGUAGCUGGUCUGAGAGGAUGAUCAGCCACAUUGGGACUGAGACACGGCCCAAACUCCUACGGGAGGCAGCAGUGGG